GGGAGUAUGUUGGAACUGGUAGACAAGUACGACUCAAAAUCGUAUGACUUCGGUCGUGAGAGUUCGAUUCUCUCUACUCCUA
rnacentral:tRNA from 1 species